CAUAUUUAGUCUUUCUCAAUUUUCAUCAAUAACAAAAGCGGGAAACUUCCCGUCGAAUCCCUCCCCCUUUUUAUUUUUAUUUUGGGUUUCACCUUCCUCAAUUCGUUCAACCCUUGGACUCGUGCUUUGAGUUAGGAGGUUCAAUUGAGCGACAACCUUAUCUUCCAGUGUUGCUGCUAAUAUGGCUUGAAAUUGUUAUAAAUAAAGAUAGUGUGGUUCAUCCACAUCAGUACUUAUAGCUCGAUUACAGUUCUAAUCAAUGGUCUCAUGUCUUAUUUGAUGUAGUUUUUGGCAUCUGCUUUGGCUAUAUUUUUUGGGUUGUGAUGCUCCUAAGGAAUAGGCUGCUUCUAGCUUUGCGGAGCUCUCUUUGGACGUGUUACUUUGAUUCCCACAUCUCACUGUAAGUUACUUUCUGUUUUAUCUAUAUUCAUUUCUUUAGCAUUUAUGUUUGAAAAUUGAGAGGUGCAGCUUGAACCAAUGCUUUGUGUCUCUGGGAGUAAAAAGAGGGAGCUUGCUAUGCCAUGAUCCACAAGUAUGUCGAUCGUCGUGCUUAUGUAACUUUUUAAAUUACAAAAUCUCUAUUUCUCUCUUUCGCUACUCUGUUAUUUUCUUCAUGCUUUUCUACUUCAACAGUUGAAUGAGAAGUUCAGGAUGUCAUAUUUCUUUUAGAGAAUGGUUCAAUUCUUCUGGGCUUCUCUGAAUUUAUAUGUUCUUCAGAUUUUACCUUAUGCUUGCUAAAAUUUUCUAGGUGCAUAUCCUUAAUUUCUGAUUUUGGUUUUGUUAUGAGUUUAGUUGUUUUAAUGGGGGUUUUAGUGUGAAUAUUUGUUAUUUAAAAGCGCUGAUUGUGUCCUUUAUCUACUGGUUGUUCACUCUUUUGGAGUUUCUCCAUUUUUCUUCUAUUUGUAUAUGGUGCGAGAUUUUUUAUUGCAAAGUUACUUGUGCAAGCUAUCUUUUUUAAAUAAAAGGUGCUAAGAUAAACUUUCUUUAACUGGGUAGUGGCGGUUUUUCACAUUACAGCAAAAGUCACAUUCAUCGGUGAGUAUUUUGAUUCAAAUUUCACUUAUGUUUGUUUCGUGAUAUAUUGAGGUUCUUGAAUUAACCCUAUGCAUUUUAUAUGUGGAUGUUCGGUUUCCUGCUCCUAUUCAUUUUGUUAUUCUGAAAGAAAACUGUGUUAGAGUUGUUAACCAAUUCCUAUCGCGCGAUUUCUGAUUUAAAAUAAAAACUUCUGACUUUAUAGCUGAAUAUAUUCUGUAGUAGAUUUGUUUAACUGGUUUCUAUAUUCUAAACCAUAUACAUUAUACCUUAUAUAUGUCUCCUCAAGUGCCUAUAUUUUAUUCUCCAGUACCUUUGCAUCAGCAUUAAAGUAAUCAAGUUACUUAAUGCGUCUCUAGACACUGACUUAACAUACUACUAAGUAUAAAAAUGACAACAAAAAACUGAAAGGAAAAAAAGACUAUGCUACCUGUUAAAAGACUAAAAAUUAACGAAGAAGCAAUGUUGGCGAAGGAACAUAUGCCUGUGAUGCAUCCUUGAAAGGAGUACACGAAAAUACAAUCAAUUUGUGGCCAAGGUAUAUAGACAUGAUCAAACAUGUCUUGGUAUGAAUUACAAUUUGGGGAAUACUUUUAAUAAAAGGUUCUCAAGGACAGAAACAUGUGGGGGAGGGGAAAAAAGAGAGCUAAUCAGUAAAAGAAAGCAAUGUUGAUCACGUCAUGGUAGUAUUCCUAUAACUUUGAUCUGUGCCUCACAUUUCCACCCAUAUUAUUGAUUUCUCCGAGUGCUAUGUCCCUAACUGCAGGAUUUUGUACCAUUCUUUGGAUCCAAAUUUAGACGAUGCAUUGAGCAAAACUUUUAGAGUAUAUUUGUAUGCUAACAAGAUGAAGAAAAGUCAUCGAAUCCAGAAAGUGCUAAAUUCUCCACUAAAUCUCAUUGUGAUAAUCAAAUUUCAAAUUAUUUAAGCGAUCUGAUACAUUAACAUACAGAAUAUCAACUGUUAGUGAUCUUAGCCUAUUCUGUUUUAUGUUUUCCUGUUUUACUUUCCUCCCAUGUGCAACAUUAAUCCAAUGUAUUUAUGCAAAAGGGCUGAAAAUGCUUCCUCAUUGCAGAAGAACUCUAAUUCACUGUGAGUUCACUUGUUUCCUAGCUACUUCUCAAUUUCUAAUUUAUUAGAAUUAAAUAAACUUUAAACUUUUAUCAUUUAUUGUGAAAGAAGUAGAAGCAUUCUCCUUUUCAGCCUCAGUAAAGAGUAAAGACAUUAAUUUAAGAGAACUUGUUUAAAUUGUUAUUGCAUACUAGAGCAAAUAGGCUAGGAUGCAGACGAAUUUCUUCUUACUUCAUUGUUUCAAAUUCUCCUGAUAUAAUAUGGUUUUCGUGAUCUUUAACUAGGAGAAGCAUACUCAUGUAACCCUGUAAUAUGGUGGUUAAACUUCACAUUUUCAAGUGAACCUGUUAAAGGCUAUAACCUUAUAACCAUCUCAAGUGCUAAUGGCCAGUUGGCCACUGGCCAAUAGUCGAAAUCUUGUAUUAAAAGAAUAGCACUGCCCCUUAUCCAACUAAAUCAUCGUAACCAUUAUUCCCAUUGUUGUAAAAUUAUGAAGAUUGGAAUCAGCAGUGUGCAUGAACUUGUUCAUAUGAUUGUAAACAUCACUUUCAUUUCUUUUUUAUCAAUUCCUUAAGAGCUGCCUAAUUUCUUAAAACUUCCCAAAUAAAUAUCUCUUUUUUCUGGAAUUUUCCCAAGAGGGAAGCAUCAUUUCUCUCGAAGAAUUGCAAACGACAGCCUUACUGCAAAAACCAGUAGGUGGGGAAGCCUCUAAAAGACACAUUCAUAAAGCCUUAUUUGUACUAUCAAUUAUCAUUCAUUCACUACUUUUUUAUAAGCUUCUAGUGCCGGUUCGUAGUUCCACUUGUAUAUUUGUGUGUAAUUGCUCUUGAAUUAUCUGUGCUACCAAUUAUACUUGCCUCCUUUUUUCCCAGGACAUCGCAAGUGUGGAGAGAGAACUCUUGCUAAUACAGUGAAACAUGAGAUGGAGAAAAAGAGGUAAUUAUGGCAUGACUGUUGUACAUGUUUCUAGUAGAGUUGGACCUACUGUGUAAUUCUAAAUGCGCAACCAGUUAAGUUCAUUUGAGAAUUUUUGAUUUUGUCAACGAAAUGAAUAAACUAUGGAGUAGAUUGAAAUUGAUGGAACUAGUGUCAUAUAGUGAAUUGCAUCUUUUUUUCCACUACUCUGUUUUACGGCCUUCACAUUCUUGCUACUAUUUAUACAUGUGGAUCUUAUACUGCUAUAUUUUGGAAGAAGAGGACGAGUCAAGUCUACAAGUCAUAACUUUAUCUUCCAUGAAAAAGUACAUAUCUUGGUUGUAUGCACAGAUGAGUAUUUACUUGAAUCAAUCUUUGUAUGUAUUUGAUUUUAACUAUAAUAUUAUAUCUUUGGGAAUAUUUAGUAGGUUCUGGUGCAAUAACUUUAUUUGGGUAAGUAUUCAACUUUGAUGUGGAAUUUUUGAAAAAUUUACAAGUCAAUUUAUUCAAUUCUAUUUGGAGUACUCUUGAUUUGAUAAUUUUGCAACUUAUAUUCAGCUUUCUUUUAGCUGAAUGUUUCUAUUCAGCAAUUCUGUAAUAUGUGACAUCUCCAGUGAUGAAGUAGUUGCAAUAUUAACUUGAUGUAGAUUACUCAUGAAUCGGGACUUUCAGAUUUACUAUUAACUAGUAGUCCUAUUUAAAGACACUUGGAUUCUUUCUUUACCCGUAACCAAUAUGCAAAACAUAACCACAUUAACGUUUGCUAAUGUUAUCUUAUUACCUGGUUGUUAUUGUUGUUUGUUAGUACUAUUUUCUUUAAUAGUUUCUUGAGCCAAAAGAUCAUAAAAAACAACUCUUGAUCUUUACAAAAUAAGGAUAAGAUUUAUGUACGUAAUACUUUACUCAAACCUCACUUGUGAAAUUGCACCAAUUUUUGUUAUGACUAUUGUAUUAGUCGAUGAAAAAUAUGAUCUCCAACAAUUGCUUUUUAACCAUUCUAACUAGAUUUUUAAUGUAUUCAGUUUUCAUAUGAGAAAAAAUAAUUUUGUUUAUUUUGUUUUUCGGACGGCUGAGGAUCCCAUGGAAUAAAUAAACUAAGGGUUAAUUUCAGAGACCUCCCCAUAGAUUUGGCUUUGUUACAGUAAUCUCCCUAGUGGUUUGUGAUAUUAUGCCUACCUCCCUUAUUUUAUUUUAUUUGUAGCACUUCCUUAAACUUUAUUAUUGUAAUUUUUAUGAAUUUUAUAUGACUAAUUUGUCCUUUCUGAUAUACUCUUCUCUUAAUUAAUUUUACUAACAUAUUUUUUGAAAAGAUUCCUUUAAACAAAUUUUGCAUAAAAAAUCUCUUGAACCGAAAAUCUGUUGUUCAUGCUUAAAAAUGGUCUCCUAAGGCGAUGCAACUGUUUGACCAAAAAAUGUUAAAGCUUUUGUUAAAUUAAUUAAUGAUGAAAUAAAAGAUAAAUCUUAGUCAAGAAUAAUUAAUUCUAGAUCUAAGCGCGUUGAACAAAAGGAUAAGAUAUGAUCAAACUUAUAAACUUCAUAAGGUAUCAAAUAUAAAUGAUAGGCUUACAUUCUUGACAUAUUAUCCCAUGAUGAAGCGAUUAAGAAAGAAAGGAUGGAAUGCCAUAGAUGAGGACAAGAUCGAACUUUAUUAAUUCAAAGAAUUUGAUUACAGAGAUUUGUUUUUCCCUAUCUAACCUUUUCAUGGUUUUCUUCUCUUCUUCUCCUUCUGGGAGAGAAGAAAGCCACCCUCACUUGUCUUCUCACCUCCUAUAUAUUGUCAGAGUAUUUCCUUUUGUCCAUUGGUCCUUAACUAGAGUGCCUUCAUCCAUUGACUGUACUUCAAGUCGUCUCCCUCACCUACCAUGAUAUUUUCUUCGCCAUACAGGCUUUUUGAUGGCUCGAUUUCAACGGUGGCCGAGGUAUUCGUUAUUAUUACAUCUAGUGGGUACGACCACGACUUAGUUAACCUCUUACCAUUUUUGUUAACGUUAAUCCACGUGUGGUCAAAUUUUGACCCAUACAGUUAGUGCCUUCACCCGUUGGGGUCGCCUAUUGGCGAGCUCGAUAAGUGGACCCUGUUGAUUCCAAAAUGGAAAAAUCUGAGCGCUCUAUGCGAGGGGUGAGAACCUCAUGGCGAGGUAGCGACGUGAUGCUUCGAGAAUUGUGUCGGACCGAUAUGUUAGUUCAAGAUUGGACUGUCACGUCAGUUCAGGGUGUCAUCAACAUUCCCCAUGCGUCAUUAUGUCACAUGUUUUCCAAAUACUGUAUCGUUUCCUGUGCCCUUUCCGUUUUCUAUUUGGUGGCUCUUCGUUUUACUUCUUAGGGAAUUUAUAUCCCCAUAAAUAAGGGAUGAGCUCCUCAUUUGAAUGUUACGUAACUCAAUUGCUUAAGCGAGAAUUUCACAAGUCUUCUCCUCUUUCCUUAGUCUCUCAUAUCUCUCCUCCCGUUAGAAUUUGUAGUGACCAUUGUCUUUUUAAUUCAUCAUCUUUGCUACUUUUGAUCAAAGAAAACAAAUGGCCGGUACUUCUUUCUACUCCGAUAAUGCUUUAGGUGCUCUAGUGCCGGAGAAUGAUGCAUCCCUUCUUGAAGAGGGAGUGGAGGUGGUGGAAGAUGAGGGAUUUCCGACGGUAGAUUAGGUGGUUCCCCUCCCGGGGAAGGUGAGGACCGAUUUUAACAGCCUUGCCAGGGAUGAACCUAAGCCCGUUCCUUCCACGAUAGAUACUGCAGCGAUCACGGUGUUUAAAGCCAAAUGGGAGAUCCCCGAUAAUAUUGAAAUGGUGCCGAUGGAUAAGGAUAUAGUGCAUUUACAUUGCCCGGGCUACUGUGCAUUUUACGCGUACCCUUUUGUAAUCAGGUACACGCUUCCCCUUCCUUCUUUGGUGGUUGAUUUUUGCCAUUUUUGUGAGGUGUGCCUGGAUCAACUCUCCCUGUACGCGUAUAAGCUCUUCCUCAUGCUCAUCAAGUAUGCAGAGCUGGCCGACCGAUCUCUAGGGCAUAUGCUCCACCUCUUCACCCCCCCCAUUUUCUUCGGGGCACGAUGAUUCACAUGCGCCAUCAAGGAACCAAGAUCUUGGUGAUGAAGAUGGACAACAAGACCAACCGCCGCUUUGGGGAAAACUACUUUUACGUCCGAACGGAGCAUGUCGUAUCGAACCCGGCAGGGUUUCCUGAGACGUGAAAUUUUGCUCGUAAGUUCUCCUUUCUGUUUAAUUUGUGCAAUUUUUCUUCAGUUGGACAUCGACUGUCUCCUUUUAAUGACUUCACUAAGGAUCUACUUUUAUUUUUGUAGCCGAGAAGCUACUCCCCCGCUUGUUGUCGAUAUCCAUGAGUGGGUGAGCGCAAUUCUUCCCCACACGAUGGGGAUUUACAAGUGGGAGUCUUUUCAUGAGAAGUUUGGGCGCAAGCCACUUACUAGUGAGUUGGUUCGUUGUAGUUCCGUUUUGUUCUUUACUUCAUAGCUUUUUUUUAUCUUGUCGUUAUGUGACCAAAUCCCUCUUUACUGACAGGUCGGAGAGGAGCAAGAAGGACGAGGGCUCCUCCACUCGCGUUCCAUCAACCGAUGCUCUCUACCUGGCCCGCAUCAAGAGCUACUGCGGGCGAGGGCAUAGAAAAUCCGGUCGCCCAUCAGGCCGCGCCCGCGGCCAAAGCCGUACGCUAGGAGGCUACUCUUCAACCGGAGACUCCGGUUCCCGCAGUCCAUUCAACAGGGGAACCUUCUUGCGUUGGUAGUGGACAAACCCCAUUGAAGAGGUGAAGGGUAGUGUUGGAAGGGGCUUCUUUAGCCAAAACACCCUCGAGGGGCAACCUUGCGUCGACGGCCCCCGAGACCGGCAGUGUGCCAACUUGGAUGCAGAGGUGAUGCCUAUUUCAAGCGUUUGAGAGACUAUUAUGACGUAGGGACGAAGCUCCGAGGUUGCUGUUGUUGUUCCGAGCAGGCCAUCAUCUUUUUGGCCAAACUGCACCCCUUCUUCGGCCAAUGAGAGAGGGAAAGGCGUCAUAGUUGAGGAUUAUGAAUCCGAAUCUGACAUUAACCCUGAGGACAUGAGGAUGUUCGAGGAGGGUUUUACCCGAACUGCGGUAAGAGUGGAAUGCCCUUCUCUAAUACUUGAAAUUCCAUCGGAUCUCAACCUGUUGCAAGACACGGUUGAGUUGGUACAACAUUUCGAUCUUCUAUGCUCCGCCGCUGAGAGCGAAUCUCUUCAGGAGGUCAAUGAUUUUGAGUUGUCAUGCGGUGUGGAAGCGAUGGCCUUAACAACUUACAUGCUGGAGGUCGAGUGUGCUCAUAGGGUGAAGACGCGUGCCGGGAUGUUUCUGAAAAUGGCCGAGAAGUAUCGGCGGUAUCGCAAUAGAUGUCGUGAGAUACACGAGCAGCUUCGAGCGGGCACUAGUAUCUAUUCCAUUAGGAAGGAGUUGGAGAAAAGAGAUGAGGAGCUGAUGCGGUCUAUCUAUAGAUGCAGUUAGCUUGAAGAGUUGCUUCAUGCCAAGGACGAAGAGCUUGAGGUGGGCAAAGGGGUUGCCGCGGAAUGUGAGGACCUUUAGGCGAAGGUGUUGUCUUUAUGAGCUGAGCUUGUGCAAAAUGCUACUAAAGUCGACACUCUCAGUGAAGAAUGGGCGGAGAAGGUGGACGAGCUGGAAAGGAAAGUGGUCGAGUUGGAGAGAGUCGAGGGUGCUCGAGUGUCGUCUUUAGCGAGGGCGACGACACUAGAAGACACUUCCACGUCCUCAAGUCCGAGCACGAAUCUGAAAGGGCGACGACCAUGCUGAGGGAGGCACGGCUUGAGGAGCGAAUAGGUGAACUCGAUCGUGAUGCUUCGAGCUUGGAAUACUGGGUUGCGGCUCUAGUAGCCGAGAAGGUGCAGUUAUUGGCUCAAGCUCCGUCUCAAAAAUUUGCAUUGGCUGUUGUUCCCCCCUCCCCCCCUGCCUGUAUGAGCUAUGGAUCCAUCAUGUGGCCGAACGUGAUAUAUAUAAAGAUUUGUGAGAGGCAUGAAACGUUCCUGAGGACGCCUUUGAAGAUGCUCGGGCGAAGGCACCGAGGCUCGUAUUGCCUGCGGUCACGAUCCUGUAACACCGAAGGCUAGUGAGGGUGUUGGUAUUGAGGAUGGACCUCCUUCUGAUGAUGAUGAUGCUGGGGAGAAUGGCGGCGGUGUUGGUAUUGCAGCUUCUGUACUUAGUUUUCUUUUUUUAUUUUUUUUAUCUUUUUUUUAUUUUCAUCUUUUUCUUGAGGGUCUGUUUUGGCCUUUUGUAAAGUGAGAGUAUUGCACACGUACAUUUGAAUAAGGCAGUUGUUUCGCCUUUGUUUGUUUAUCUUUUGACUUUCCUUUUCCUUCUCUCUCGUUUAUAUUUUUUCAUUUCCUAGGAGAAGAUCUACGGAUUUCUCCGUGACGAGUCCUUAAAAUUUUAAUUAGAAAUUCGCAUGAGGGCUGAUCCAGUUUGCUUGAUUCGAGUGAAGUCGGAUUUCGUACCGUGAGUUCGAAUAAGGUCACUUCGGAUUUGCAAGUUCGGACGAGGUUGACUUCUCAUUUGCCAACUUGGGCGGAAUCAACCUUGAUUGGUAUAUUCGAAUAAGGUCGAAUUGACUUGCCAACUUGGGCGAAGUCAAUGUUGACUUGUACAUUCGAGCGAGGUCGAACUCUGAGUUGUCAACUUGGGUGAAGUCAAUCUUGACUUAUAAAUUCGAACGAGGUCUAAUUUAGACUUGCCAACUUGGGCGAAGUCAAUUUUAACUUAUAAAUUUGAACGAGGUCGAAUUUACACUACAAGAAAUUGGAUAAUUAGUGGCGACAUUUAGCAGCAACCCUAUAAGUUGCUACAAAAUGUAUAUUAUCAGCAGCGACUUUAAAAAUCGCCACAGUUUGAAUAUAUUUAGUAGCGACUAUUUAUGGGUCGCCUCUAAAGUGGCUAAAAUUUCUACUCCCGCUGAAACUAAAAAUUUGGCUCCAUAUUUAUUGUGGCGACUACUGUGAAGUCGCCGCUAAAUAUGAAUUGCAGCGACCGGGUCGCUCUUAUUACCUUUUAAAAUAACAAAAGAAAUAAGCUAGAAAUUAAAAUAACAAAAGAAACACUAAAAUCGGUCCAGAGAUUGAAGCAGCGAAACUCUCAUCUCGAACACAUCGACUCGAUGUGAAGAACUGUGAAACGCCCAAAAUCCGUCCUCUAUAGCUAGAAAUCCCAAAUUGAAACCCAAAAUCGGUCCUCUCUAGCUAAAAAUCUGUCCAGAUAUAGAAAUCCCAAAUCGAAAUCCCUCAAAAAUCACACCCAAAUUAAAAUCCCUCAAAUCAGAAUGUGAAUUCGAUUGGGUGUUUAUGAUACUUGCCGGAAACUUCAUUUUGAAGCUAAAUCUCAAGAUUGGAAGCUGGAUUGACAAGUUUUGGUUUGAAUUUGUGAAUCAGAGUGUGCGAAGAAGAAGACCACUGCUGUGGAAGUCGAUUCAAAGCUUCU